rnacentral:rRNA from 1 species
UCAGGACGAACGCUGGCGGCGUGCCUAAUACAUGCAAGUCGAGCGCGGGAAGCAAGCAAACACCCUUCGGGGUGUGCGCUUGUGGAACGAGCGGCGGACGGGUGAGUAACACGUGGGCAACCUGCCUGUAAGACUGGGAUAACCCCGGGAAACCGGGGCUAAUACCGGAUAAUACUUUCCAUUACCUGAUGGAAAGUUGAAAGGUGGCUUUAUGCUACCACUUACAGAUGGGCCCGCGGCGCAUUAGCUAGUUGGUGGGGUAACGGCCUACCAAGGCGACGAUGCGUAGCCGACCUGAGAGGGUGAUCGGCCACACUGGGACUGAGACACGGCCCAGACUCCUACGGGAGGCAGCAGUAGGGAAUCUUCCGCAAUGGACGAAAGUCUGACGGAGCAACGCCGCGUGAGUGAUGAAGGUCUUCGGAUCGUAAAACUCUGUUGUUAGGGAAGAACAAGUGCCGUUCGAAUAGGGCGGCACCUUGACGGUACCUAACCAGAAAGCCCCGGCUAACUACGUGCCAGCAGCCGCGGUAAUACGUAGGGGGCAAGCGUUGUCCGGAAUUAUUGGGCGUAAAGCGCGCGCAGGCGGUCCUUUAAGUCUGAUGUGAAAGCCCACGGCUUAACCGUGGAGGGUCAUUGGAAACUGGAGGACUUGAGUACAGAAGAGGAGAGUGGAAUUCCACGUGUAGCGGUGAAAUGCGUAGAGAUGUGGAGGAACACCAGUGGCGAAGGCGACUCUCUGGUCUGUAACUGACGCUGAGGCGCGAAAGCGUGGGGAGCGAACAGGAUUAGAUACCCUGGUAGUCCACGCCGUAAACGAUGAGUGCUAGGUGUUAGGGGGUUUCCGCCCCUUAGUGCUGAAGUUAACGCAUUAAGCACUCCGCCUGGGGAGUACGGCCGCAAGGCUGAAACUCAAAAGAAUUGACGGGGGCCCGCACAAGCGGUGGAGCAUGUGGUUUAAUUCGACGCAACGCGAAGAACCUUACCAGGUCUUGACAUCCUCUGCUACCGGUAGAGAUACCGGGUUCCCUUCGGGGACAGAGUGACAGGUGGUGCAUGGUUGUCGUCAGCUCGUGUCGUGAGAUGUUGGGUUAAGUCCCGCAACGAGCGCAACCCUUGAUCUUAGUUGCCAGCAUUUAGUUGGGCACUCUAAGGUGACUGCCGGUGACAAACCGGAGGAAGGUGGGGAUGACGUCAAAUCAUCAUGCCCCUUAUGACCUGGGCUACACACGUGCUACAAUGGAUGGAACAAAGGGAAGCAAAACCGCGAGGUCAAGCAAAUCCCAUAAAACCAUUCUCAGUUCGGAUUGCAGGCUGCAACUCGCCUGCAUGAAGCCGGAAUCGCUAGUAAUCGCGGAUCAGCAUGCCGCGGUGAAUACGUUCCCGGGCCUUGUACACACCGCCCGUCACACCACGAGAGUUGGUAACACCCGAAGUCGGUGAGG